GACCAAGAAAGGGUAAAACGUACCAAAGUUUGUUCAGUCCAGCCAGUCCCCAGCAAAGUCCUGGAAGAAUGAAUUCAUUUUCUGAACCAUGCACUCAAUAGUGCCUGCCUGUCAAGAAGAUCCACAGCUAAAUUACUAACAUAGUGCUCAUAAUUUUGGUGAACAGUGGGACACAGGAAGCAGCCCUUCAUCUAUUACAGCAAAUCAACUGAAAUUUCUUGAAGGCU